rnacentral:rRNA from 1 species
CCUACGGGAGGCAGCAGUGAGGAAUAUUGGUCAAUGGACGAGAGUCUGAACCAGCCAAGUAGCGUGAAGGAUGACUGCCCUAUGGGUUGUAAACUUCUUUUAUAUGGGAAUAAAAUGUUCCACGUGUGGGAUUUUGUAUGUACCAUAUGAAUAAGGAUCGGCUAACUCCGUGCCAGCAGCCGCGGUAAUACGGAGGAUCCGAGCGUUAUCCGGAUUUAUUGGGUUUAAAGGGAGCGUAGGUGGAUUGUUAAGUCAGUUGUGAAAGUUUGCGGCUCAACCGUAAAAUUGCAGUUGAAACUGGCAGUCUUGAGUACAGUAGAGGUGGGCGGAAUUCGUGGUGUAGCGGUGAAAUGCUGAGAGAUCACGAAGAACUCCGAUUGCGAAGGCAGUUCACUGGACUGCAACUGACACUGAGGCUCGAAAGUGUGGGUAUCAAACAGGAUUAGAUACCCCUGUAGUC